rnacentral:rRNA from 1 species
GACGAACGCUGGCGGCGUGCUUAACACAUGCAAGUCGAACGGAAAGGCCCUGCUUUUGUGGGGUGCUCGAAUGGCGAACGGGUGAGUAACACGUGAGUAACCUGCCCUUGACUUUGGGAUAACUUCAGGAAACUGGGGCUAAUAACGGAUAGGAGCUCCUGCUGCAUGGUGGGGGUGGGAAAGUUUCGGCGGUUGGGGAUGGACUCGCGGCUUAUCAGCUUGUUGGUGGGGUAGUGGCUUACCAAGGCUUUGACGGGUAGCCGGCCUGAGAGGGUGAACGGCCACAUUGGGACUGCGAUACGGCCCAGACUCCUACGGGAGGCAGCAGUGGGGAAUAUUGCACAAUGGGCGGAAGCCUGAUGCAGCAACGCCGCGUGUGGGAUGACGGCCCUCGGGUUGUAAACCGCUUUCGCCUGUGACGAAGCGUGAGUGACGGUAAUGGGUAAAGAAGCACCGGCUAACUACGUG